GCCGCCUUAGCUCAGUGGUAGAGCAACGCACUUGUAAUGCGUAGGUCCGGGGUUCAAGUCCCCGAGGCGGCUCCA
rnacentral:tRNA from 2 species